rnacentral:rRNA from 1 species
GAUGAACGCUAGCGGCAGGCUUAAUACAUGCAAGUCGAGGGGCAUCAAGGUACACGAAAGUGUAUUGUUGGCGACCGGCGGACGGGUGAGUAAUAGGUAGGUAACCUACCUCAUACUGAGGCAUAGCUGGGAGAAAUUCCAGGUAAUUCCUCAUGAGGUUAUAUGACACAUGUGAUAUAAUCAAAGGUAUCGCAAGGUACUGGUAUGAGAUGGGCUUACUGACCAUUAGCUAGUUGGUGAGAUAAGAGCUCACCAAGGCGAAGAUGGUUAGGGGUUUUGAGAGAGAGAUCCCCCACAUUGGAACUGAGAUACGGUCCAGACUCCUACGGGAGGCAGCAGUAGGGAAUAUUGGGCAAUGGGCGAAAGCCUGAUCCAGCGACGCCGCGUGGAGGACGAAGCCCUUCGGGGUGUAAACUCCUUUUCUCAGGGAAAAAGGAUGAUGGUACCUGAGGAAUAAGCCCCGGCUAACUACGUG